UUUUUUUUUUUUUUUUUGGUGAAAGAUAUCAUGUGUGAGAGUUGAAAGUACUUAAAGAAUAAUAAAACAGACACCAAUAUAUUCACUAUCCAGGUGAAAAAUAGCAUUUGGCCAGUACUUUAGAAUUCUGGGUGCCGUUUUGUUCUCCAGCCCCCCCUCCCAAAUUUUAUGCUGCUUUUCUUUUCUUUUUUUUUUUUUUUUUAAAGAUUUUGUUUAUUUAUUCAUGAGAGACACAGAAGGAGAGAGGCGCAGAAACAGGCAGAGGGAGAAAGUAGGCUGCAUGCAGGGAGCCUGACAUGGGAGUUGAUCCUGGGUCUCCAGGAUCACACCCUGGGCUGCAGGCGGCGCUGUACCACUGAGCCACCCAGGCUGCCCUUAUGCUGCCUUUCUUUAGAGUUCGACUACUUAUCAUAUUUCAUUGAACCUUAGCCCCCAACAACUAGGAGACAAAUCCUUAUUUCAUGUCUAAGAAAGAAAAAGUGCUGCUAAGUGUAAUUGCACCACCGCUUAUAAGAUGCAUUCCCCUAUUUUCUGAAAGAGUAGACUGUGAGAAGUGUAUUUUAGAAUCAACAAAAUGUGACCUGCAUGCAUCUGAAUAUCUUUUUAGUCUUGCUCGUUUUUGAGCUGUCUAUACAUGGAAUCAUACUCUACAAAGUCUUCUGAUUAGCUUUUGUCCACGGUGUGCUUCUGAGACUCUCCCAUGUGGGUGCAGGUGGCGGUGGUGUGUUCCAUUACACUGCUGUGGAACAUUCCACAGUGAGCUUAUGCCACCACGCAUAUUUGCAUUACUGCAACUGGGCAUCUCGGUUGUUUCUAGUUUUAGUGAUUUGAACUGUUUUUAUGCACAUUCUUAAAUGUAUCUUCUGAUGCACUCGGGUCUUUUAAGGGUAUAUAUAUCAGUGAAAUCUCAAGUUCAAAGAAAUGUCAAGCUCAAAGUUCAAAGAAAUAUAUGUUAAAAGGACACAUAUAUGUAUACAAACAUAUAUACAUAUAUAUGUUUGCAUUUGUGAGGCAGUGUCAACAUAUUUCUGAAGUGGUAGCACCAAUUGAAAUUCUCCCUUUUACCUUCAGUGGAUUUUCAGUGACCUUCCCCAUUAUACUGGAGCUAAUUUUCCCAUUUUUUAAGGUCAUGGAAGUGUGCGCCUAUGUUUUCCUCUAAAAUUGUAUUGCUCUGCCUUUCACCAGAGUUAGGAAAUACUGUUUUUCUAUUCAAUUCUAAUAAAAUUAGAAUACUCUCUUUGCUUGGAAGUUUGGCAAGACUCGCCUAAAAAGUUGAGUGGGCCUCGUGUUUUCUUUGUUGCAAGAUUUUAAGCUAUUAAUUUAUUUACUUUUAGGGAUAAACGGUAUUCAGAUUUUCUACUUCUUGAGCUUCUUGUUAAUUUGUAUUUUACUCAGAAUUCAUCUGUUUCAUCUAAGUGUUCAAAUUUACUGGGAAAAAAUGCUCAUAAUACUUGAUUUAAAUUCAGACAUGUUUGUACCCCUCUUUUUUUAAAAAAAUGAUUUAUUUAUUCAUGAGAGACACAGAGAGACAGAGACACAGGGAAAAGAAGGGAUCCCAGGACCUUGGGAUCACGCCCUGAGCCAAAGGCAGAUGCUCCUCCUAUUUCUUGAUGAGACUUAACAAGUAAUCAUUGUUUGCUUAGUUCAUCUUCAUAUGUUUUUCAUUAAUUUCUGCUCAUAUCUUUCUUUCCCUCUACUUCUUUAGGUUUAUUCUGAUUUUUUUUUAUAACUUCUUAAAUGCUUAGCUCAGUAUUCCUCAGUGCUUCUUCUUUUCUACGUAUAUGAAUCCCCUUUUAAUACCAUUUUAGUGGAAUCCCACAGGUUUUGUAAAUUGCAUUUUCAUCUCAUUUAGUUCUGUUUAUUUUCUGAUUUCUACCAUGAUUUCCUUGUUGACCCAUGAGGUACUUAGAAGUUUUUAAAAAGUAUUACUUUCAAACAAGUUGGGUUUCCUAGUUAUGUUUUCAUUACUAAUUUCUAAAUAGAUUGCAUUAUAGUCAAAGACAGUGGUCUUGGGGUGCCUGGUUGGCUUAGUUGGGUAAGCAUCAGCCUCUUGAUUUAGGCUCAGGUCAUGAUCUCAGGGUCAUAAGAUAAAGCCCAGUGGGAAUCAGGCUCCACACUCAGCUAGGAGUCUGCUUGCCCCUCUCCAGCCACUCCUUCCCCCAAUUCUUUUUUUUUUUUUUAAUUUUUAUUUAUUUAUGAUAGUCACACAGAGAGAGAGAGAGAGAGAGAGGCAGAGACAUAGGCAGAAGGAGAAGCAGGCUCCAUGCACCGGGAGCCCGACGUGGGAUUCGAUCCCGGGUCUCCAGGAUCGCGCCCUGGGCCAAAGGCAGGCGCUAAACCGCUGCGCCACCCAGGGAUCCCUCCUUCCCCCAAUUCUUGCAUGCUCUCCUAUAUAUGCGCAUGCAUAUACUCUCUCUCUCUCUCAAAUAAUAAAACAAUAAAAUCUUUAUUUUUUAAAAGAUUUUAUUUAUUUAUUCAUGAGAGACAUAAAGAGAGGCAGAGACAUAGUCAGAGGAAGGAGCAGGCUCCAUGCAGGGAGCCCAAUGUGAGACUUGAUCCCAGGACCCCGGGAUCAUGACCUGAGCCAAAGGCAGAUGGUCAACCACUGAGCAACCCAGGCAUCCCUCAAAAAAAUCUUUUUGAAAGUCUUAAAAAAAAAAAAAAGAGACAGUGGUCUGAAGGUCCCAAUCCUUUGAUGCUGGUGGAGGUUAGCUUUUCACCUAGCGCUUCUGCAUUGGUCAAUGCACAGGAUGCAGUGUGUGAGUUUAGAUACAAGGUGCAAGGAAUGUCAGUCAGAUCAUGCAUUGCUCAAAGUUUGUAUAUAUUUCAGGUUUCUUCUUGGCUGCAUUUUCCAACAUUUGUUAAGAGAGUCGUUUUAAAAUUUCCCGUUAUGAGUGUGGAUUUUUUUAUUUCUCCUUAUAAUGCUGACAACUUGUGCUUAAUAUACUUUUCAGAUUAUAUUGUUAGGGGCAUACAGGGCUAGAAUGUUUAUAUCUUCCCAGUAAACUGAAGACUUUAUCCUUAUAAGGUGACUCUUUAACUAUUGUAAACAUUGAUUUUUGUCUGAUGUUAAUAUCAGGACACCACCACUUGAUUUGCCCAACUUUAUAAUUUUCCAUCAGUUAGCUUUCAACCUAUUUGUAUCUUUACAUUGCUGAUCACUUUGUCUAUUAUAAAUGGCUGAUUUCUUUAAAAAAAAAUCCCAUCUGACAAUUGAAGUCUUUUGACUUCUAAUGUUUAAUCCAUUUAUAUCUAUUCUGAUGACUAACACAUUUGGAUUUAUUGCUACUCCUGUACUUUCUCUGUGACCCAUUUUCUAAACCUUCUUUUUCUCGCCCCACCAUCUUGUCCUUUUAAGUACAAAAUUGAGGUGUUUUUUUUCCCUUUUUUCAGUUUCUUUCCCCCCCUUACUAGUUCGUAAGGUCCAUACGCUUUCUGUCCUUUUAAUGGUUACCAAGGCUGUUUGUACAUAUAGACUAAUUCUAUAGGCUAAAGUCAAAAGUUAACCAAUACCUUUUUUUCUCACAACAAGGACCGCAGGGGUUUGGCUUCUAUCACUCCCUGUCCCUUGUUAUCUGCUACUGUGACCCUGGAUUUGGAUUCUAGCCUGCUUGCCACUACCCACCACACACACACACACACACACACACACACACACAUGCAUGCACACACACACACACACACACACACAGAGAAUGUCUUUUGUCCCAUGGUAUCCCCAGUAUGUGGCACACAGCAGAUGACCAGUAACCCUGCAGGGCACAGACAAAUGGAGCUUCCAGCAGCAAUGGAGCUGGCUUCUCAUGAUGAUUUUGGUUUGAGCAUUUGGUGGAACAAAUACGCCUGAUUGCUUUAGAGCUCCAAGUAUCCUGAUGUGGUGUCUGAUAUCCUAGGGAGUCCCUGGUCUCUGUCCACCACUCAUAAUCUGGGUCCUCUCCAUUUUUCAAAUCAUGUAACUCCUCUGAUCCCAAUCCUCCAGUCACUUCCCAUCCCACUCAUCCUGAACCUUUCUCCUCCUCCUCUCCUUUCUCACACCCACUUCCAGUCACAUCUUGCUCUUCUAGAAUAUUCCAGGCAUGACUCCACCUUAGGACGUUUUGCUUGUUGUUCCAUCUGAAGACCUUCCCUAACCUCCUACUAUGAACUAGUAUCACUGGUCCAUACUCCCUCCUUACCCCAUUUUUGAUAUGUUCAACCUCCUGCUCAUCUUUAUUUCUCUGCAUGGCAUUCAGCACCACCUAGACAUUCUUUCCUUUCUUCCUUUCUUCUUCCUGUCUGUCUGUCUGUCUGUCUAUCUAUCUAUCUAUCUAUCUAUCUAUCUAUCUAUCUACCAUUUCCCACUAGAGUGAAAUCUCUGACAAAGGGACUUCAUUUAUAUUUUCAGGGUUAUAUUUUUACAACCCUGGACACAUAUUAAAAUGACCAAUAAAUAAUAUAUUGAAUAAAAAA
rnacentral:lncRNA from 1 species